rnacentral:rRNA from 1 species
GAUCCUGGCUCAGAUUGAACGCUAACGGCAGGCUUAACACAUGCAAGUCGAACGGUAACAUAAAGAAGCUUGCUUCUUUGAUGACGAGUGGCGGACGGGUGAGUAAUGCUUGGGAAUCUAGCUUAUGGAGGGGGAUAACUACGGGAAACUGUAGCUAAUACCGCGUAGAAUCGGGAGAUGAAAGUGUGGGACCUUCGGGCCACAUGCCAUAGGAUGAGCCCAAGUGGGAUUAGGUAGUUGGUGAGGUAAAGG